rnacentral:rRNA from 1 species
AAUCAACGCUGGCGGCGUGCCUAACACAUGCAAGUCGAACGCGAAAGUGGAGCAAUCCAUGAGUAGAGUGGCAAACGGGUGAGUAACACGUGGGUGACCUGCCUUCGAGCGGGGGAUAACGUCCCGAAAGGGACGCUAAUACCGCAUAACAUCCCGCCUUUUAAGAGGUGGUGAUCAAAGCCGGGGAUCGCAAGACCUGGCACUUGAAGAGGGGCCCGCGCCUGAUUAGCUAGNGGUGGGUAAUGGCCUACCAAGGCAACGAUCAGUAUCCGGCCUGAGAGGGCGGA